GACGAACGCUGGCGGCGUGCUUAACACAUGCAAGUCGAACGGAAAGGCCCUGCUUUUGUGGGGUGCUCGAGUGGCGAACGGGUGAGUAACACGUGAGUAACCUGCCCUUGACUUUGGGAUAACUUCAGGAAACUGGGGCUAAUACCGGAUAGGAGCUACUGCUGCAUGGUGGGGGGUGGAAAGUUUCGGCGGUUGCGGAUGGACUCGCGGCUUAUCAGCUUGUUGGUGGGGUAGUGGCUUACCAAGUCUUUGACGGGUAGCCGGCCUGAGAGGGUGACCGGCCACUCUGGGUCUGACCCUCGCCCCAGACUCCUUCGGGCGGCAGCAGUGAGGCAUAUUCCCCCCCGGGCCGAGGUCUGCCGCAGCCACGCCGCCUGCCUGGUGACGGCCUUCGGGUUGUAGCCCGCCUUGCAAUGUGACGAAGCGUGAGUGGCGGUCAUGGGUAGAGAAGCCCCGGCUACCUCCGUG
rnacentral:rRNA from 1 species